ACGAACGCUGGCGGCGUGCCUAAUCAUGCAAGUCGAGCGGAAUGAUGAAGAAGCUUGCUUCUUCUGAUUUUAGCGGCGGACGGGUGAGUAACACGUGGGCAACCUACCUUGUAGAUUGGGAUAACUCCGGGAAACCGGGGCUAAUACCGAAUAAUCCAUUUUGCUUCAUGGCGAGAUGUUGAAAGACGGCUUCGGCUGUCACUACAAGAUGGGCCCGCGGCGCAUUAGCUAGUUGGUAGGGUAAUGGCCUACCAAGGCGACGAUGCGUAGCCGACCUGAGAGGGUGAUCGGCCACACUGGGACUGAGACACGGCCCAGACUCCUACGGGAGGCAGCAGUAGGGAAUCUUCCACAAUGGACGAAAGUCUGAUGGAGCAACGCCGCGUGAGUGAAGAAGGUUUUCGGAUCGUAAAACUCUGUUGUAAGGGAAGAACACGUACGAGAGUAACUGCUCGUACCUUGACGGUACCUUAUUAGAAAGCCACGGCUAACUACGUG
rnacentral:rRNA from 1 species